CUUUCUGGAAGAAUUAACGCUGUUGUAAAAGCACCCCUCUGCAAUAGUGGGCACAAUUCCGAUUCCGAUUGUUGAAAUGAGACAAUGGAGGACUGCUAAGGUGGCUGAGGAAAUAGGGCACCUGCCUGUCAGGAAGAGGCUGAAGAGAUUGGGAUAUGAGCUGUCUGUAAAUACUUGAGGAGUUAACACCAGUGAGAGGAAAAAACUCCUUAGUUUGAAGGAUGAAGCUGUGAAGAAACUUUCACUAGUUUUCAGAAACAGCCAUGAGCAACAAAGGAUCUUCUAAGUGCUUUACCCUAAAUUUGGUAAAGGAACCUCAAAACUUGGAGAGUACUUCCUUCAUGGAUUUCCACAGAAAAAAAGGCACCAGGUCAGCACGGGCUUGCUCAGGCCAUUAUGCAGACCUUGCAAAUUAGCUGCUCAAAACUGCAGACACACCCUGACCUUCUGUUUUGCUGGCUAGAGAUCAGGACAACCUUCACAGCUAUAUAAUAUAAUACUGUUGAACUUU